rnacentral:lncRNA from 1 species
CUGGCGUCUGCUCCGAGACGGUGGGGAGCGCAGGUGAGAGGUAAUUCGCAGCCGCCCCGGGGAGGAGAAGCCGUGCUCGAGCUGUCUGGGGCUUCAUUAAAUAUCAGAAAGAGAAAUGAACCAAUUUCGCGGCCCCGGUCUGUGCCUUCUCCCAGGAUGUGAAGUCAAAGGCUAUGCGACCCAAGGCCAGUAGCAAUCCGAUUAAUUCCCCUGGAUAAAGCCUUUAAUCUAACACAUAACAGCAAAUUCUUGUUUUUCCAUUAAAAACAAUACCUCGGCCCCCACGUUGGCUGCCAGGGCCUUAAUGAGAUCCCCUUUCCCACCCGGGAGGCUGAAUUGGACCUUUGUUUCUCGCAGCAUGGGGUUCGGAAGAUUGCUAGUUUGGCGAGAUCCCUGAGUUCACAGCAUGCCCUCCAGAAGGACCCAAGGAAUGGCCUCAUGGCCCCAACUGACUUCUGCAGCCAAGCGAGGAAAGCCAAAGAGACCAAACCAGGACCCUGGCAACUUCUGUGGCAGGAAGCCCACAGACCCCAGCAUGAAUAGGCUCUGGGAUGGCGCCAACCAGAAACAUCUUGGAAGCAGCUUAGUGGAUGUUGUGGCGAAACCUGGAAGGAACACCAUCGUCUCUGGCCGGGCCCUCCCUGAGAACGCGGCCACAACAAGUAGUUAUCCCCUUUGCUUUUUGUCUUUUUCUUUUCUAAACAAACUUAUUAAAGAUUACUUAACUGCAAAGUGAAACCAUCC